rnacentral:tRNA from 1 species
GCCUCUGUGGUGGAAUGGUAGACACGACAGAUUCAAAAUCUGUUGCUCUUUGGGUGUGCCGGUUCGAGUCCGGCCAGAGGUACCA